rnacentral:rRNA from 1 species
GCAGUCGAGCGGUAGCACAGAGAGCUUGCUCUCGGGUGACGAGCGGCGGACGGGUGAGUAAUGUCUGGGAAACUGCCUGAUGGAGGGGGAUAACUACUGGAAACGGUAGCUAAUACCGCAUAACGUCGCAAGACCAAAGUGGGGGACCUUCGGGCCUCAUGCCAUCAGAUGUGCCCAGAUGGGAUUAGCUAGUAGGUGGGGUAACGGCUCACCUAGGCGACGAUCCCUAGCUGGUCUGAGAGGAUGACCAGCCACACUGGAACUGAGACACGGUCCAGACUCCUACGGGAGGCAGCAGUGGGGAAUAUUGCACAAUGGGCGCAAGCCUGAUGCAGCCAUGCCGCGUGUGUGAAGAAGGCCUUCGGGUUGUAAAGCACUUUCAGCGGGGAGGAAGGCGGUGAGGUUAAUAACCUCGUCGAUUGACGUUACCCGCAGAAGAAGCACCGGCUAACUCCGUGCCAGCAGCCGCGGUAAUACGGAGGGUGCAAGCGUUAAUCGGAAUUACUGGGCGUAAAGCGCACGCAGGCGGUCUGUCAAGUCGGAUGUGAAAUCCCCGGGCUCAACCUGGGAACUGCAUUCGAAACUGGCAGGCUAGAGUCUUGUAGAGGGGGGUAGAAUUCCAGGUGUAGCGGUGAAAUGCGUAGAGAUCUGGAGGAAUACCGGUGGCGAAGGCGGCCCCCUGGACAAAGACUGACGCUCAGGUGCGAAAGCGUGGGGAGCAAACAGGAUUAGAUACCCUGGUAGUCCACGCCGUAAACGAUGUCGAUUUGGAGGUUGUGCCCUUGAGGCGUGGCUUCCGGAGCUAACGCGUUAAAUCGACCGCCUGGGGAGUACGGCCGCAAGGUUAAAACUCAAAUGAAUUGACGGGGGCCCGCACAAGCGGUGGAGCAUGUGGUUUAAUUCGAUGCAACGCGAAGAACCUUACCUGGUCUUGACAUCCACAGAACUUUCCAGAGAUGGAUUGGUGCCUUCGGGAACUGUGAGACAGGUGCUGCAUGGCUGUCGUCAGCUCGUGUUGUGAAAUGUUGGGUUAAGUCCCGCAACGAGCGCAACCCU